GGCAUGGUGGCUUAGUGGUUAGCAUGUGUGCCUUGCACCUCCAGGGUUUGGGGUUCAAAUCCUGCCUCCACGCUG